AGCCGAAGGAUCGGCCAGCCGCCUGGACC
rnacentral:sRNA from 1 species